UGUAUUUCAUGUGCAGCACCACAUAGUUCACAGAACAGGCUUUAUCUAUGAGUGACUGCGGUGACUCCCGGCCUGCGUCGGGGGUGACGACGCCGACCACCAGGGCCAGGAUCGAGGCACUCACAAGGGAAGAGCUCAUCCAGAGAUGCAGAUCACUGCUCUCUAUUGCCCACAAGGCUAAAGUGGCAAAAGAUGAUGCCGUAAAGCAAGCCGAGGUCCUCAGACAAGCGUUGAUAUCAAACGAGUCGUCUCAGGACGCCAAUUUGCAAACACUCAAAGCUGAAAAGAAUGAUCUUGAUGAACAGCUGUCGCGGCUGCAGAGCCAGCUGGAGGAGGCGGCGG